CAACCUAGACGCUUGAGCUUCUUAAAAUACAAGAGCAGAAGCACGGCCUGGAUGUUAGGAAGGACGCCGCCCUGAGCAAUGGUCACCCGGCCUAGCAGUUUGUUGAGCUCCUCGUCGUUGCGGAUGGCCAGCUGCAAGUGGCGCGGGAUGAUGCGAGUCUUCUUGUUGUCGCGAGCCGCGUUGCCGGCCAGCUCCAGGAUCUCGGCGGUCAGGUACUCUAACACCGCCGCCAGGUACACCGGCGCGCCUGCCCCAACCCGCUCUGCGUAGUUGCCUUUGCGGAGCAGGCGGUGCACUCGGCCCACCGGGAACUGGAGACCAGCGCGAGAAGAGCGGGAUUUCGCUUUGGCGCGAGCUUUGCCUCCCUGCUUACCACGUCCAGACAUUGCAAUCAGACAAAAUUACCAAAACCAGCGGCCUAGACUCA
rnacentral:lncRNA from 1 species